AAAUAUCCAUCAUGGCUCCCGAUGCCUGACGUGUGACUACGGACAGGAAGUUCGGGGAUUUAUUUUAAGACAACGCUACCACGAUCCGUGGUUUCUAAUGUGUGCAAAAUGGGGGACUCACCGGAGUCCACUAAUGUGGACCCAGAAAACCAACUUCUUGGAUCGUCAACAAGCUCCCUAGAUUCCAGUGGGAGGAAGGCUAGACCACCGAACAAGAAACGGUAUGAAGAGGAACUAGAAGCACUCCAAAACACUAUCAAGGAAAAGGAAGCUGAGCUGAAGUCAAUUACACAGCACCUGAGCGAUGACACGCACAAAAAUGGCCUCCGUACGAUGCGAUCCGAGAAGAGUGCUCAUAUAGACAGACUAAAACACAUUGAGCAUGAAGUUAAAACCCUGAACUCGGACAUCUCAAAAAAGAAGGGGGAACUAGACCGGUUGCAAUCCGCUCUACAUUACAAGAGCGAGGACCGGAUUGACCAUUCCAUAACAAGACUUGAUUCCCUGCUUAAGAAUCAGAAUUUUAAGCUCUCUGAGGAAAAGAAGAUCGUCACUGAAAUAAAUAGCCUGAAACGCUCAAAAAAAGUCUUACGGGAUUUCUUAGCACUUAAGAAGGAGAAUGACGACAUGCGGAGCAAGCAGAAAAGUCUGCGAGAGGAACGUGAUAGUUUACAAACGUUUGUUAACCAGCUCCGCCGCAAAGAAGAUGAACAUAAAGAUGUGGUGCACAAAAAGAAACAUCGAAAGGACACCCUCAAGAAAGAGCUUGAUAAUCUGUAUGACAUGAAGCGGCGCAUGGUGCAAGAUUUUAAGCAACAAGAGAAGGAUUAUGUUGAGGUCAAGGGUGAAAUUCGACGACAGAAACGAAAAGAAAUUGUAAAGAAAAAGGAGGAACCAUGUUCUCAAAUGGAGGCAUUCCAAAAAUCGUUGGAGGAGUACGCUGUACAGAGGGAGCCUUAUGCAGACGAAAUCAAUCUGUGCAAUACCCUCAUAUACUACCUACAGAAGUAUAUACAGAACCAAGACGACCUGCCUCAGGACGAACCACCCGCUGGCAAGGGUCUUAAUUUGUCGUCCUCUAACUGUUCCGCUGAACUAGCAGCUGAACUUGAGGAGGGAAUGUAUGUGCUUAGACGCAAGACAGAGGAGGAUUCAGAGUAUCCUGGGACGGGUCGUCGUUCCGGAAAACGCCGCCUCAGCAAAAAGGGCAAACGUUUAUCAUCUGUUACAAAGCCUGUGACACACACACCUCAGAUAUUUUCCCAGUUUGCCUCUCUAAACCUGAAUGCGCCUUCAAAUCAUUCCGAAAUACCGGCUUCCUUGGAGCAGUUGCAAGCUCGGAAGGAUUUCUAUAAGGACGGUUGCCAGCUGAAUCAGUCUAUUACCACACCUGCUAUAGAGGAGCACCACACUAGCGAUGCAGGCGUCUCCACUAGUGACGCUGGGAUCUCGCUGACGGAAAGCGGUAUGUGCGAGAUGUCCCGCCAGGCUAGCAACACAGAAAGUACGGAGAACCCGGCAGAGCUACAAUUUGGCUUUCUGGAUGAGCUUGUGAAACUGUCGAGUGAGGAAGCUGCGUCCGAAACAAUGUCCGAGGUUUCCGAGGAUACCCUCGGGCGGAGCAAUUCAAAUUCUGACUCCACUGAGCAAGCUCAGUCAGAAGGAGACUUAUCGGAUGGCACUCCCACAUCUGUGCAGGAUAAAGAGGCCGAAAUUAGCAGUGAUAUAGGUAGUGUGAAACCAGAAAGAGCAGGUAUAGCAGGGUUAAAGUGUGAGAAUAGUUUAGUUGGGGAACCAAUGCUCAAUAGCACGUACAAUGACAAUAAAUGCGAUUGUGAUAACCAAAAAGGCAACGUCCUCACUAAUCGGGGCUCAGAGCUAGGGAAAGACAACUCUGGUAUGCAUAAACUGAAUAUACGAGAUGACCCUGUUAACCAGGGGUCAAAGGUUAGGGAAGUUGUGCCCGAUGACUGUCAGGAGACGGACUACGAGUUUGACAUGCCACCGGAAACCUCACCAUGCGUGUCUUGAUGUUAGUAACUGCUUAGCCACCAUGACUGUCCUGCGUGUUGUGAAUGUCGAAGGGUUAGGAAUCCAGAUCAUUCAAUGUGGUUAUAAGUUUACAGAAAUGUUCAAAUGAAAAAAGUUUUUAAUUAAUUUAAAUUUUAUUUAAAUUACUAUAUAACAGGUAAUUUUUGUGGGAGUAUUGUAUUUGCAUUUUCCAUGGAAGGAUUCAACUGCAAAUUAAACAAUGCAGGGGAAAAUUCGUGUUUCAGGCAUUAUUGUAAGAUCUAGGUCAAGACUUUACCCUUUCACCCCUAUGCAACUUUUGUAGACUCUAUCAUGCUUUGAUCUGGAUGAUUCCAUUAUGGUCUACAGCGAUGAAAGGGUUAAGACAAACAGCAAUACAUACAAAGAACAUCAAACAGUUCACUUUAUGAAUUUAAACGUUAAUUAGAAUAAAAUUACAUUCUAUUCAUGUUUAUAUAUGAACAAGGUUUACUGUUAAAAUGUUGACACUUUUUCAAAUACCUCUGCAGUAUUUCAAUGUUUCAACAAAAAUAAAAACAAUUGUAUAAGAAUAAAUACACAAUACAGGGCUAGAAAGUAAGACAGGGCUAGAAAGUAAGUGUAUCCCGAUAGUCUGAGACUAGUGAAAUCUGCAGCUGGACUAGUGGUUCUCAAAACAGCUAGCAUGAUUGACUACCGGUAAGUCAAAAUUUCAUAUUAGUUAUCUUGGUGAAUGAUAUUUGGUUAGCGGAAUUUUUACAAGGACUAGUAAAAGUUGGAAAGUACUAUCACAACUGACUGGUGUUAUUCAAAAUUAAUUUCUAGCCCUGCAAUAGAAAGUUUUAUAAACAUCUAAUUGUGCUAGAAUACCACAGACUGUCCUAAUUUCUGCUAAUUCUACAAUGCACGAAUGUCAAUUCCAUCAGGAAAAUGCGAAGUAACCCUGCACAAAUUCAAAGUUGUAUACACUACAUGCUACUAUGUUUUGCUGUUAGAUGUCAUCAUCAAUCAUUUUUAUUGUGUGCUUUAUUAUAAAGAAACGUCGUCACCAUAUUUUCUUUCUCACUUUGAAACAGAAGUUCUUUCAUGGUCCUGUUCUACCAGUCCGUUGUAAAACUCAAAUACAUAUUUAUAAUUUAUUGUACAAUGUACAAGUAUUUAUAUAUUCAAGAGAUUUUAACAGUAGUUUUGCUAUAUUUUGUGAAAUUUUAGUUUUAAAAUUGUUGUGUAGAUUUUACACAUCUGACUGGGGGGAAAAUCAGUUUUUCUAGAGAACAUAUAUAUAUUUUUUAUUAUCUAACAAAUUUACCCUCGCUAGUUGCCUUAGACCAGUCCGGGGUAAAUAAGUCUAUUUUAAUUAGGAUUUUAUCAAUGGUUGACAGAAUUAAAAAUCUUUCACAGGGCAUUCUGACUCCAGAAGAAUUUGGUCAGUGGUCAACAAAAAUAUAUAUCUGUCUCGGGGUAUUCCGAGUCCAGAAACAAAUAUAUGUCAAAGUGCGUUCUGGACACAGCAGGGUUUAAUCAAUGGUCAACAGAAAUGAAAAUCUUUUGCAGGGUAUUCUAAACCCUGAAUAAUUUAGUCAUUGACCACUUAACGUAAAAAAAUAUUGUAUCUCUUUACCUGUGAUAGACUGAGGCUUACUGAGUAGAGUUGAGCCCUAUUUGUUUUUAUAGCAAAUUGUAAUAUUAUAAUCAUACAGCUGAAUAUGUAGUAAGAGAUCUAGACUACCUUUGCCUGGGAGGGCAUUUUAGUUUAAUUAAGGAUUGAAAUGUAUUUUAGGACAUUCCUUGAUUCAAACGAGCACAUCUUGGCGAGUAUAUAUAUGCUUGAACAAAACUGCAUUGCAUAUCAUCAUAAAUAUUAUAACCAUGCAUUUCAUUCCUUAUAUUUACGUCCAAAACCAAAAAGAAAAUUGUGUAACAUCUUUCUUAGAGGUUUCUUUCAACCCAUUGAUACAUUUUGAAUGAGCUGUUAUACCAAAUGGUGGAACAGCCAUUUUUGUGGGAACCUGGUACAUUUGUAUAGUGGUUUCUAUGGUAACCAGUUCAGUUGGGGACAAACAUUGGUUGGAAAUCAUAUUAUAAUUUUGUCGUAAAUUGAAAUUUCAUUUUAAAAAUCAUGAAAAAUCAUCCCCCGAAUGGUCAUAUGUAAAGAAAAGGGGAAACAACACCAAUGAUAACAGGUUUUAUGUUGCAGAUGGUGUCAUGAAAAAGAACAUAAAAUCUCCACAAAAUCGAUUGCUGUGUAUGUACAUUCUGUUCUUAUUUCUGACAUAGAAAACAGAAGGAGUUAUGAAUGAAUUAUAUUUUGUGGUAUAGUAGUGAUAAUAAUUUUUAUUUUGGUCACGAAGCAUCAUUACAAUAUUUGGUGUUUUUUUAAGAAAUAUAUUGUGUCUUUUUUUUUUUAAAUUGAAGUUCAUUGAUUUGUUAUUGUUUUCAGUUGAUCAAAUAAGAUUUAACAUUGUCGAGGCAUUUAUCUACAAGGGUUCCAUCAAAUUUAUUCGUAAAAUAGUUACCAAUAAGACUGCAAGUUUUAUACAAUUGUAAAUAAUUUUUGUGAACACUUAAAUUUCACAAUAGUACUUAACAACUUAUAUGUAUACAUAUACAUGUACUAAUUUUUGCAUUUAUGCAUCAGACCUCUUAUAUACGAGGCUUUAAGUCACAAAUUGAGCAAAAACAGAAAUAAGUUCCCUAAUAAAAAUAUAAGCCAGAUUUUUUAAUUUGUGAUAGGAUGUCCUCACAAAAUAAAGCGAAAUUAUGUCAUGUAUAAAGUGAUUUAUAAGUUUGUUACAGUUAAAUUAUAUGAAAGACAUAAAUAAUUUUACAUAGAUGUAAAUAAAUUUUCAAACAUACUGUAGGAGUUGAAAUUUUCACGCUGCAGAAAUGUUCAUGUAUAUUUGCGUUCAGAAUGUCGCACCCAAAGACAUCCCCACGUGAAUAUGAUUAUUGAUAUAUUACAUAUUUAGAUAGAUUUCAUAACUACAUGACGUAUUGACAACGUGAAAAUUGCCACACCGCAAACAGUUUAAAUAGUCACAGCGCGAACAUUUCCACCCGCGAUAAUUUUCACUUCUACAGCUGUGUAACAUGAAUGGUACUCUGUAUAUAUUGAACAGGAUUCUCAGGUUUUGUAGAGGAUUCUCAGGUUUUGUAGAACUGCAGAUUGACGCUUGUGUGGUUGAAUGUGGACAAAUGAUCAUUACAUACAUAUUGAUUAAUAAAUCUGUGACAAUGAAUGCAACAGUUUUAUUAUAUUUUGUACGUACUGUUUUAUGAUUCCGCCCCAGUCUCAUCCUUGGAAACAAAAGAUUCCGCUCUUGAUAUUCAUACCUUCUCCGCACCUCAUAUUUGAAUUUGUUAUAACCAAAUCGAAGGCUUGCAGGAAGCUAUUCGAUUGGUUUCGGGUAUAAAAAACUGACCAGUCGCUAGGUUGAUACCUGUCCUGUGAAGAUUACAGAGGAGCAACACUCGACCUCAAAGCCUGUUGAUUUUACAUUUUCGCUGCGGCAUGAUUAUUUUGAUCUUAAUUUAUCAAAAGACUUUCCUUUCUUUUAUUUUCUGUCUUCUUUCUCUUUUUCCGGCAGUGACUCCCUAGGCACCCGUCCUCCUAUUACCAUGACCAUUGCCAGGAUGUAAACCCAAACAAAAUACUAAAAAUUAUUAAAGACAUCAUUUUAGUCUAAAAAAAUCACCAGCAAAGUCCACAGCCUCCAAAUUUUGUUAUCAUACAUUCAAAGGAUGCAGAGAAGAUACGUAUAACCAGAUUGGAACUCUUGUGUACAAGGAUGCCCAGAUAUAGACUUUUUCCACAAACACUUCUCAAAAUUCUAAUUUCUUAAUAGUUCUUCUCGGUGUCUCCCUCUACACAGCCACAAUCUGUUUUCCUGCAUCGUCAUUUUCUACACGAUAGAAUGUUAGCCAAUAUGACGUUUUUUGUGUGAUGUUUCGUAUGGAGAGUUUUGCGUCUUUGUAACCCAAAAUUAAAUCAUAUGAUCACUAUUUUUAUUUUAAUGAUUUUUUGUUUAUCAUUGGACAGAGUACAAAAUUUACAUGAUGAUAUUUUGUACAACCUCAGUGUGAAAUGGACAAACUUGUAAUUUUGAACAACACUUGAAGACAAACUGGUGGGUUUUUUUCUGUGGUUUUUAAGUACAAAAGAAGCCGGGGAUAUUGUUACAGAAAUAUUUCUCUGUCUUUGUAAAGCAGAAAUCGUUGUUGUAAGCAGAUAAAAAAUUCAAUCUAAAUCUCUAAAAUGUAUAUAUUAAUUUUAUCCAAUGGCAGGAGCUGACUUAUACCAUCAUCUUCUGUUACUUCCAUUUCUUCCAUUUCUUCCAUUUUCUUUCAUAAUGUUCAAAUAUGUCACAAAAGCUGUCUUUUUCACUUCGAAAUUAGUUGUUUAAGUCUUGAUAGAUCUGGAUAGAAAACAGACUUUUUUAGUCUAGUAAAAUUAUGCCUGUCAUGACACAAAUACCUAGUUAAGGUAAAAUUACACCAGAAAAUAACACGUCAUGAUACAAAUACCAGGUAAAGGUAAAAUUACACCUGUAAUGCUGUUAAUACAAAAUAAAGAUAAAAUUGCACCUGUCAUGUCAUGAAUACCUGGUAAAGGUAAAAUUGCACCUGUAAUGCUGUUAAUACAAAAUAAAGAUAAAAUUGCACCUGUCAUGUCAUGAAUACCUGGUAAAGGUAAAAUUACACCUGUCAUGUCGUAAACACCUGGUAAAGGUCAAAUUAUACCUGUCAUGUCGUAAAUACCUGGUAAAGGUAAAAUUAUACCUGUCAUGUCAUAAAUACCUGGUAAAGGUAAAAUUAUACCUGUCAUGUCGUAAAUACCUGGUAAAGGUAAAAUUAUACCUGUCAUGUAGUAAAUACCUGGUAAAGGUCAAAUUACACCUGUCAUGUCGUAAACAACUGGUAAAGGUCAAAUUACACCUGUCAUGUAGUAAAUACCUGGUAAAGGUAAAAUUAUACCUGUCAUGUCGUUAAUACCUGGAAAAGGUAAAAUUGCACCUGUCAUAUCAUUAAUACAAUGUUGACAAAAGAAAGCAAUUGAAUUACAGGGUAUUGAUAUGUAGAUUUACAUGUUGUCCUCGUAAUUUUUUCAUAAAACAUUACAUAAUGAUAUAAACAUGAUAAUAAUAAUUUGAGGCUCUUAUAUACCGCUUUAUCACAACCUAGUUCGUAGGUCGUCUCAAAGCGGUUCACAAAUUAUGAAUGCGAUAGAAUUGCUUUAUUCCUGAGAAUGUUUUCUAUAUUCCGACUGUUGUGAUUCCUCGUUAUUUAUCAUUGAUGACUAAACUUAAUUCAUUAGCUCAUUUACCCCUGAAGACACAUUUGAACUCUUCCAAUUCAAAAGUUGGAAUAGUUCACUAUGAAAUUUCAGGGGUGAAUGAGUUGCACAAACCUACCUAAUGUUUGUACAGAUGUAAGUAUAAUCUAGUGCCUCUACUUUCAUAGCCUAGUAACCAGGUGAAAACUGAACACCAUUGGGGACCAAACGCUCCAUUCUGAGAAUGAAAGUUUUGGAUUGCACAAUGUCUUACUCAUUCACCCCUGACAUUUCAUAAUGAACUAUUCCAACCUUUGAAUUGGGAGAGUUCAAAUGUGUCUUCAGGGAUGAACUAGUAAAUAAUCAUGUUUGCUAUGUUAUUGUCAAUGUUCAUGCAUGUUAUAUAACAUAGUAAGGAAAUAGGUUAAUGUACAUUUUCAUCCUUGAGAAUCCAGGGGUUACGCUCACUUUUGCUCUCUGCACCCCUGGAAUAUGUCAUAGCAAAAUUGAAGGCUCAGUGUGUGCCACCUUGAUGAUGAGACAAGAAGACUAGUUCGAUCCUUUGAUGAACAUUGAAAGAAUCUCCUGGUCGUGUUACGGUAAAAAUUGACAGGCUUUAAAGUUGUGUGUCGCUCCUCUGUCAUCUUCCAAGGAUAGGUGCAUCAUCCUGGCGAUUUGUCAGGUUUUUUUUAACCCGAGUAACCUGAGACCAAUCAAACAGCUACCUUUAUGCCUUCCAUUUUCUAUGACAUAUUCCAGGGUGCAGAGAACGAAAGUGAGCGUAACCCCUGGAGUAUCGAGGAUGGUACAUUUUCUGUCUGAUUAAGUUACGUAAAAUGUGGAAUUUACAAAAAAAACAACAAACAGGGGUAAUGCUCACCUCACCUACUUUCUCUUCAUCCCUGGAAUAUGUCAUGAAAAAAAUCAAAGACAGGCAGUUAGCUAUUUGAUUGGUUUCAAGUAAAAAAAAAAAGACUGACCAAUAGCUAGGCUGAUAUCUGUCCUUUGAGGAUUACAGAGGAGUGUCACCCAAAUACAAAGCCUGCCAAAUUUACCGUUGGGCUGCUAUGGGAUUCUUUUGUUGUACAUAAAAGGAUCAAACUAGCCUACUUGUAUCGUCAACAAGGAGUGUACACAGCCUUUGAUUUCAUGAAAUAUUCCAGGGCCCGAAUUCAUCAAACUGCUCUCAUGCUCAAGUAUGAAUUCUGUGCUCAAACCGACUUUCUUGCAACUCGUAUAAAUCGCUUAACACGGUCAAAUAGUCCACUUUAAACAUUGAAAACAAUCUUCGGCUUAUAGUCUCUCCAAAUCUCCUACAUAUCAUUGACAAAAUAUGAUCAUUUUAUUAAUUUAUCACUGGCACAUGAAAUUUGACUUGAGCACAGGAUCUAGGUUUGAACAUUAGAACGGUUUCAUGAAUAAGGGCCCAGGGAUGCAGAAAAUUUCAAGGAUGAAUUUCACAGUAGGCACUGUGAAACAAUGAAGAUGAACUCGUAAGAAAUUUAAAAAAAAGGGAGUCUACCACUAUAUAAACUAAAACAUCUCAAUAUUCUAAAUUAUUUUUGCUUAAAAUGGUCUUGUACAAUGGUUUUUGUCUUUCCGCCAUGAAGUGGAGACGAGACUAAGAUAAUGCUUUUCCGGCAACGGUGUCAACAUUAAGGUUUUGUGUUUAAGUAAGUUUCACUGAAUGUAUAAGUGCUUGACCAACCAAACUUGGACCAUAGAUGCAUCUUAGGUAGUACAUCUCAACCCAUGCAUCAAAUGCUGGAUGCGGCCUACCUUUCAUGGUCCACUGACUUUGUCAGCAUCUCCAUCAACAUUAAGUUUUUGGGUUUAAGUUAGUUUCUCUUGAUAUGUGCAUUCAUCGGUCAAAGCGGGGUAUAGGCGAGACAUAUCAAUCCGAAUGGCUUGUUUACGACAUAUGAUAGCUCUGUGAGUAACCUGUUUCCCUUGCUGUUUUGACUAUUAUAAUGAAUUUCCCUAUCUUUCUAUGGAAUCAAACUAGAGUUGGAAUUGAGUAGCAAGGUUACUUUUCAUUGGCUGUUAGUUGUAAGCAUUUAUUGACUUAACAAGGCAUAAUCCAAUACCAAUAAUGUUUCAUUUUAUAACUUUUUCCUCGUUGUUGUUUAAAAUGAUUAAAGGUUCAUUUUAAAAAUGAUUUAUUGACUGGAACACAAGAGAAUAAUAUCCUCUUUAUUUAUCUGUGCUAUUAAUUGAUAUUUCUAUUUUCAUUUUGAAAAUGAUUUAUUAGUUGGGGAAAUUUUUAAAGGGAAAUAAUCAUUUCUUUAUUUGUCUUUUCAUUUUGAAAAUAAAUUAUCAAUUGAAACUUUUUCAAGGUUAUAAUAAUUUAAUCAGGCAAUUAAUAGUUUGAUAAUGGAGAAAAAUUGAAAAUGAGAAUGAAAGGGAUAAUUAUUUAAUCAAAAGGGUGUGCAGGUAGUGUUGUUAGUUGAAUUGAGAUAUUUGAAAAAUAUUUACAUGAUUUCAAUAUGCAGAAUUUGAAGUGUUAUUACAUUGUCAUGAUCUUUGAUUAUUUUUAAUUUAUGUAUUAUAUUCAAACAUUGUUGAAGCCUGUUUUUAUAUGUACAUUUAUGUAUCUCUAUGUCGCGGUGUUAUCGACAAAUAAAAACAUAGGAAUUGAUGAAGAA
rnacentral:misc_RNA from 1 species